rnacentral:tRNA from 1 species
CCCCGCGUGGCGGAACCGGUAGACGCGGCUGCCUCAAACGCAGCGGCCCACAAGGGCGUAUCCGUUCGAAUCGGAUCUCGGGGACCA